rnacentral:rRNA from 1 species
AUUGAACGCUGGCGGAAUGCUUUACACAUGCAAGUCGAGCGGCAGCACGGGGGCAACCCUGGUGGCGAGCGGCGAACGGGUGAGUAAUACAUCGGAACAUGCCCAGUCGUGGGGGAUAACACUUCGAAAGAAGUGCUAAUACCGCAUACGUCCUGAGGGAGAAAGCGGGGGAUCUUCGGACCUCGCGCGAUUGGAGUGGCCGAUGUCAGAUUAGCUAGUUGGUGGGGUAAAGGCCUACCAAGGCAACGAUCUGUAGCUGGUCUGAGAGGAUGAUCAGCCACACUGGGACUGGGACACGGCCCAGACUCCUACGGGAGGCAGCAGUGGGGAAUUUUGGACAAUGGGGGCAACCCUGAUCCAGCCAUUCCGCGUGAGUGAAGAAGGCCUUUGGGUUGUAAAGCUCUUUCGGCAGGAACGAAACGGCGAGCUCUAACAUAGCUUGCUAAUGACGGUACCUGAAGAAGAAGCACCGGCUAACUACGUGCCAGCAGCCGCCGUAACAC